CCUAGGCCGGGUCAGGUUUCCUGUCGGGCCUUGAGGGCAGGUCCUCUGUCCCACUGGCUGCUGCACUUCCAGCUCCUGGAACAAAGAAGAAUAAACGCCAUCUUCACCAAGUAUUGUCUGAACUUCUGGAUGGUACAGAAGGCCUUUCUUAUCAGAAGGAAACACUUCAUCAGGGCCGGAGAGCAGCCACUCUGAGAUGACUGCCAGUCCCAGUGGGCCAGCCAUGGAAGUGAGCCACUUUAGAAGCAGUUUCUCGAUUGAUUUGCCCCCGCUGAUGCUGAGUGGAACAAAAAUACAUCUUCCUCUUGAAGCCCUGCCUGAAUUACAGA